GAUGAACGCUGGCGGCGUGCCUAAUACAUGCAAGUCGAGCGAACAGACGAGGAGCUUGCUCCUCUGACGUUAGCGGCGGACGGGUGAGUAACACGUGGAUAACCUACCUAUAAGACUGGGAUAACUUCGGGAAACCGGAGCUAAUACCGGAUAAUAUAUUGAACCGCAUGGUUCAAUAGUGAAAGACGGUUUUGCUGUCACUUAUAGAUGGAUCCGCGCCGCAUUAGCGAGUUGGUAAGGUAACGGCUUACCAAGGCAACGAUGCGUAGCCGACCUGAGAGGGUGAACGGCCACUGUGGAGCUGAGACACGGUCCAGGGUCCGAGGGGCGGCAGAAGUAGGGAAGCUUCCGCAAUGGGGGAAAGACUGACGGAGGAACGCAGCGCGAGUGAUGAAGGUCUGCGGAUGGUAAAACUCUGUUAUUAGGGAAGAACAAAUGCGUAAGUAACGAUGCACGUGUGGACGGAACCUAAUCAGAAGGCCACGGUAAACUACGU
rnacentral:rRNA from 1 species